GUCCACGCCGUAAACGUUGGGCGCUAGGUGUGGGGCCUCAUUCCACGAGUUCCGUGCCGCAGCUAACGCAUUAAAGCGCCCCGCCUGGGGAGUACGGCCGCAAGGCUAAAACUCAAAGGAAUUGACGGGGGCCCGCACAAGCGGCGGAGCAUGUUGCUUAAUUCGAUGCAACGCGAAGAACCUUACCUAGGCUUGACAUGCACGGAAAUCCUCCAGAGAUGGUGGGUCCGUAAGGGCCGUGCACAGGUGGUGCAUGGUUGUCGU
rnacentral:rRNA from 1 species